rnacentral:rRNA from 1 species
GAACGAACGCUGGCGGCGUGCCUAACACAUGCAAGUCGAACGCGAAAGUCCUUCGGGAUGAGUAAAGUGGCGCACGGGUGAGUAACACGUAGGUGACCUUCCGUUUAGAGGGGAAUAACCAGAAGAAAUUUUGGCUAAUGCCGCAUACGAAGUACAAAUUUUAAAGUAGUACUUGAAAGAUUGCCUCUGUAUAUGCAAUCACUAAACGAUGGGCCUGCGGUACAUUAGCUAGUUGGUGGGGUAACGGCCUACCAAGGCAACGAUGUAUAUCCGGUCUGAGAGGAUGAUCGGACACACUGGAACUGAGACACGGUCCAGACUCCUACGGGAGGCAGCAGUGGGGAAUAUUGCGCAAUGGGGGAAACCCUGGCGCAGCAACGCCGCGUGAGUGAGGAAGGACUUCGGUCUGUAAAGCUCUGUUAAUGUGGAAAAAUGGUGUAUGGUCUAAUAGGCCGUACAUUUGAUGGUACACAUAGAGGAAGCACCGGCUAACUUCGUGCCAGCAGCCGCGGUAAUACGAAGGGUGCAAGCGUUGUUCGGAUUUAUUGGGCGUAAAGCGCGCGUAGGCGGACCUUUAAGUCAGAUGUGAAAUCUCGGGGCUCAACCUCGAAACUGCGUCUGAAACUGAGGGUCUAGAAUCUUGGAGGGGGAAGGGGAAUUUCACAUGUAGGGGUAAAAUCCGUAGAUAUGUGAAGGAACACCAGAGGCGAAGGCGCCUUCCUGGACAAGUAUUGACGCUGAGGCGCGAAAGCGUGGGGAUCAAACAGGAUUAGAUACCCUGGUAGUCCACGCUGUAAACGAUGAAUACUAGAUAUUGGGGGAUUUGACCCCUUCAGUGUCGUAGCUAACGCGUUAAGUAUUCCG